CCCAGAUAUAUAAAUGCAAUAGAUGUAGGUCAUGGAAGCACACAAAAACAAUCCUAGUAUUGCAUUUGUGUUUAUAUUGUUCAAUAUGAGUCCACCAUCUCAAAAAUAUGCGUCCAAGAAUGAUCCUAAGAAAGAGCACGAAAGUGUUAGCAAUCAGUUGGGCAACAAGGCAAGUCCUUCUGGAAAACAGGGUUCACAAAUUACUAAUGAUAAAGUGAAAUCGAAUGAUACCAUAGGAGAUUUUUUGGGCAAUCGACAAGAUUCUCGACACAAAAAUGGUUCUAAGAGAAGCCAAUAGGGUAAAAAAUAAACAGGUUUAUUCACAAGUGGAACUUAUUAUGUGGGAAGAAAAUUUACAACAACAAAUUCUACUAUUAGUUAAAUAUUCAAUAUUUAUUUCCAACUUGUUUAGACUCUGGUGUUUACAAAUAAGAUAUUGUAUGUACAAUGAAAUGGAUAGAUAUUGAUUUCGAUUAAUAAAUAAAUCUAUAUGGUUAUUUAUAAGUAA